AACGAACGCUGGCGGCAGGCCUAACACAUGCAAGUCGAGCGAGGUAGCAAUACCUAGCGGCGGACGGGGGAGUAACGCGCGGGAACGUGCCCUUUGCUACGGAAUAGCCCUGGGAAACUGGGAGUAAUACCGUAUGUGCCCUUUGGGGGAAAGAUUUAUCGGAAAAGGAUCGGCACGCGUUAGAUUAGGUAGAUGGUGGGGUAAUGGCCUACCGAUCCGACGAUCUAUAGCUGGUUUGAGAGGAUGAUCAGCCACACUGGGACUGAGGCACGGCCCAGACUCCUACGGGAGGCAGCAGGGGGGAAUCUUAGACAAUGGGCGCAAGCCUGAUCUAGCCAUGCCGCGUGAGCGAUGAAGGCCUUAGGGUUGUAAAGCUCUUUCGUGGGGGAAGAUAAUGACUGUACCCCAAGAAGAAGCCCCGGCUAACUCCGUGCCAGCCGCCGCGGUAA
rnacentral:rRNA from 1 species